CGGCCAGAGGGAUGAGUGUUACUUCAUGCCUGGACCCGAGACAAAAAGAGAUAGGUAAGUAAAAAGCUAAGUCAACGUUUUGUGCAGAAAAGGUUUUGACAUGAAACAUACCAGUGCACAAGUAGAGUUCAUGACACCGAGCUUUGCAAGCCGCAUGACCAGGAAGCCGAUUUUGUUCCUUGCUGCAUGACCCAGGAAGCUGAUUUUGUUCCUUGAUGCCUGUCAGAAAAUGGGAGAAAAAAAAUUAUUGGAAUGAAGAUAAGAUUGUGCAAUGAGGAGCAUUUAAAGUGCCUCACUUUUCAGGUUGCUGAGGCAGUAACAAGGAAAUUGAAGUGCUGCAGCUUUGUUCUGGUCCUCAGCUGCCGCUGCUAGCAGCAGCAGGCUCUUUAGGCAGCACGGAUCCAGACUGGAAGCAGCCGGUCGCUGGUGCACAGGCAGAGUUCCUAAAAUGUUAAAACGCUCCAGGGUGGACACCUGCACACAACACAAACAAGGGACCCAUCAAGCUGCUAUUUAGUACAUUUUAUUUGUGCGUCAACUCUGAAAUUGGAGGCAGUCUUAAAGAACCUCUGCAUGGUUUUGAGGGCUUUUACCUUUGGCCAGCAGGUGGCAGAUUUUCCAACUGCAUCCUUACUGGAAAGUGCUCUGCAGGAAGAGGGAGGGAUAAAAAAAAAAGC